GUUGGAAUUCUGGGGAAACCUUGAAAAGGGAUAUCUUUGUUGGUUGGAGGACAGGAGUUGUAGAUGGGUGCGUGGACGUACUGGGAUGAGUACGAGGACAGUUAAGGAACCCUUUUCCAUGGAGUAACAUGCGUUGAGACGCCAUCUUGUCUUGGAAGGUCCGCAUGGUGGAAAGGUAUUUUACUAUGUCCAAACUAGAACGUGUCACUAAAA